rnacentral:rRNA from 1 species
AUGUCGGACGUUUACAAGAAAGCCAAGCCCGGCCGCCUCGUCUUCAAGGGCGGCGAGGCCGCCACCCUCCGCAAGCCCAAGAAGCAAAAGAAGAACAAGAAGCCCGCCGACGAUGUCCCCGCCGACGCCGACGCUGAAGCCGCCGCUGCCGCUGCGGCCACGGAGGGUGCCGAAGCCGGAGGCGACUACACCAUCGACGCGGCGAAGCGGAUGAAGUACGAGGAGCUGUUCCCCGUGGAGACGAGGAAGUUCGGGUACGACCCGUCCAACGCCGCCCGCACCUCCCGCGACCGCACCGUCGAGCAGGCCCUCGACGACCGCGUGAGGAAGAAGGCCGACCGCUACUGCAAGUGA